GGCAGCAGUCCGUCCCUUGGCACGUUUACAUAGGGAAAACAAUGACGUGGCGUUUGCAAAAAACGCAAGAACCUUCUGCAAGCGACGUUCCGUGGCUCCUAACCCCACGCACAAAUUAACUGUGAGCGAUCCCAUGAGGCCAGCGAGCGAUUUUUCUCUUCCCCUUCCCCUUCCCCUUCCCCUUUCAUCCCCAACGCAAAUCAGUGCAGCUCCAAAUCCUCGCCGCUCUUGCCGCCAGAGCUCGCCGCUCGUGCACCAAUCGGGCCUCCGCCGCCCUCUCGACACAGGUUGCCGCCCUUCGCCGUAGCCAUAACUCGCGGCGCACCUUCCCCGUUCCAUCUCCCUCAUCGCCUAAUCCAGGCAUUGACCUCAGCAGGGAGAAGAGAUGCCCAGGGGAGUACCGCUGCUACCUCAACACUUUGCUUCGGUCGAUCCCAGUAGCUCUUCCACGAAAAGAUCUCCAAAUCACUGGUAAGCAGAAUUAGUCUCCACGUUUUGGCACUGUUUAUGUGUUAAUCACCAUGAGUAGUAUAGAAGCAGCAGCUCGAGGACCUGUUUGUUUGGGGUGAAGGUUGAGAUUCUUGGAACUGAGAAGCAGCCGGAGAUUUUGAUUGACACAUUGUGCUGGUGCUGGACGACUGUUUGGCAACCUGCUUCUGAAAACAGCUGGUGGGGCUGUAGCUGGUGUUAAAAGUCUGAACUGCCCUUGUAUGCUGAACUUAAUGAUUAAGUACUAAUUUAGCACAGUUUA